CUAUUUCCUAAUUUCAAAAUGUGGCACGUGAUAAGAAGUUAUCCAAUUAAUGUAAAUAGUGGCAAUGACGCAGUGGCUUCCUUCACAUAUUAAAACGUCUAAAGAUGGCGGAUCCUUCUAAGAGACAAGCUAAGAAGAAGGCGGAAUUGAAUCGAAUUUUACACAAAGAACAAGAAAAAGCUAAGAUUAAACAGGUAAG